UCCUAGUUAAUAUUUGUGGUUUCUUGUUCUCCUUUCUUUUUGCCUAAGUGAGAAGUUAACUCACCGUAGCGUGAUGAUUGAAUCCUUAGGCAGCCAAUUUUUUGUAACUAUUGAUUAUUAUUUUUUCAACCUCUUAUAAAAACAUAGAUAAGAUGUGUUAAAAUCUUGAAACCCCACUGUUGGUCUCGGGUCUCAACUGCAAAGCAUGCCUCUACAACUGUUGGAUUCAAUAUUCCCAACCAGGGGCAGUCACCACCAACGUGAUGAUUGAAUCCUUAGGCAGCCAAUUUUUUGUAACUAUUGAUUAUUAUUUUUUCAACCUCUUAUAAAAACAUAGAUAAGAUGUGUUAAAAUCUUGAAACCAAAAAUUUACAGAUUAACAUCAUCUCCAUCAACAAUGGGAAAUGUUCUAAAGCCCCUCACAGAGGAUCCUCUUUCAUUUGCUUACCAUCCUCUCCUCAGCCCACCA
rnacentral:lncRNA from 1 species